GGGGGGGGGGGGGGGGGGGGGGGGGGGGGGGGGGGGGGGGGGGGGGGGGGGGGCCCGGGCUCUCAGCCCCGUGUUCCGAUCCGCAGGUGCCAUGGGCCGGCAGCGCGCACCGCCCGAGCGCUGCUGGAAGCGGCCCCUGCGCGCCGGGGGCUGCUGGCUGCUGUGGCUCUGCGGGACGGCGCUGCGGGCGCUGCGGGGGCUCUGGAGCCUGACGUGGGUCGGUACCACAGCAGGGCGGGGGCAGAGGCGCUGCUGGGGUGCAAACGCUGCACCGCUGCUGCUGCUGCUGGGGUUUGUUGCUGUCCUCGGCUCAAGGCGCUGGGUGGUUGUGCCCGCCCAGAGCCCUGGGGACGCGGGGACAGGUGUCACCGUCCCCUCCCGCAGGUUCUGCUGCUGUGCUACAAAAGCUGCUGGGAUGGCGCCUUCCAGGUCACCGAGGAGGACGCCAGUGGAUGGAGGCACCUCGGCAACCAUGUGGCUCCAUCCAGCCUGGUGGCAGAAAAAGCAAGUGAAGGUGUGAACAAGGCCUCAGCAGUUCAGGAAGGAUCCACACAUUCCUCCUGCCCAGGCCCUUCAGGACCCAGGCCAGGCUGCUGCUGUCCCAGCUGUAUCACUCCACCCCAGCCCAAUGCAGCAGAACUGCAGCCAUUUCCCAGGAGCAGGAACCAGCUGGAGGCAGGUCAGGACAAGCCACUCUCCCUGGGCCUGCCCCAGGACACAUCACAGCCCUCCCUGCCCAGGGCUGCCCCCGGGUUUCUGUGCCCCACAGGGGCUGGCUCUGAUGAAGCCCACAGAGGAGCAUCCCCCUGCUCUGCUGCUUGUCGGGACGUUCCAGGAACAAGGAGUCUGGUCAGCACUGGCUUCAUCAUCUUGCACUGGGGUGACAGAUUGCAAAACUCACCCACCGACUUCCUGACUGGCCACAUCCAUCCUCUCAUGAGCUGCUCCUGCACAUGUCGCAACCCUGGGCAGCUCCUUGAGACAGUGGCCAAGGGCAAGCAGCUCCCCAGGCAUGGCUGACAGCCCCUGGCAGGCCAGAACAGCUGGGGCUGGGAGCAGCAGCCCCACAGGGAGCUGAUCUGAGGGGUUGCCCCAUGCCCAGCCCUGGCCCAGCCCAGGGGCUGCACCCACUGUCAAUACAGGCAGCUGCUCUCCAUCUCUUGUGUCUGCCUGGUCUUUCCCAGCAGAGCUGGGACAGCCACACCCGGGCUCUUUGGGGCGGGGGGACAAGAUGAGCUCUUGCUGCAGCAGAGCAGGGACCGGGCUCCAGCAGCAGGCAGGAUGGGCAGGGAUCUGUUCUCCAAACAUGCCCAUGCAGCUCCCACGUGCAGGGAACUGAUGCAAUGGGAAUAGCAGCAGCCUGAGUCACCCUGCACCCACCCGGCCCCGGUGUGGUGGCGGUGGGACAGCCCCGUGCUGCUCAGAAAGAGCAAAGGAAACCAGGUCCUGCAAAGGAGCUGCUCUCAGGGCAGGAGUCCUGCUGCAGUGAAACCCCAGCCCCAUGCUGCACCCCCCCUUCCCUGCAGCAGCCACGGCAGCGUCCCUGCUGAGACCGUGGGAGCACCAGACAAUGAUGUCACAAGGUCCUGCUCCUGCUGUAGCCACCAUCCACC
rnacentral:lncRNA from 12 species